AAUAAGAUCAUUUUUCAGUUUUUACAUACAAUGCUUUGACUCUUCGUCUUAUUUGAAAAAUAUUUGUUAUUAAUAUUUUUAUUGUUACUAGAUAAUAAAACAUGAAUAGUACUUUAUGUAUGACUAUUUUUUUAAAAUUUUUAAGUAAUUUUUUUAAAUAAGACAAAUGGUCAAACUUUAGACACAGAAAUCGA
rnacentral:pre_miRNA from 1 species